rnacentral:rRNA from 1 species
CCUACGGGUGGCAGCAGUGGGGAAUAUUGGACAAUGGGCGAAAGCCUGAUCCAGCCAUGCCGCGUGUGUGAAGAAGGCCUUCGGGUUGUAAAGCACUUUCAGUGGGGAAGAAAGCCUUGGGGCUAAUACCCUCGAGGAAGGACAUCACCCACAGAAGAAGCACCGGCUAACUCCGUGCCAGCAGCCGCGGUAAUACGGAGGGUGCGAGCGUUAAUCGGAAUUACUGGGCGUAAAGCGCGCGUAGGCGGUCUGAUAAGCCGGUUGUGAAAGCCCCGGGCUCAACCUGGGAACGGCAUCCGGAACUGUCAGGCUAGAGUGCAGGAGAGGAAGGGAGAAUUCCCGGUGUAGCGGUGAAAUGCGUAGAGAUCGGGAGGAAUACCAGUGGCGAAGGCGGCCUUCUGGACUGACACUGACGCUGAGGUGCGAAAGCGUGGGUAGCAAACAGGAUUAGAUACCCUUGUAGUC